GCUCCGCCCGCCUCGGUGCCAGCCGAGCGCACAGGCGGCUGGCGCGUGGCUCAGGGCGCCCUUUCCUCCGGCCGCCCGGCUCAGCGGAGUAGCUGGGACCGGGAAGCGGCUGCAAGGACUUCCCUCCUGCUCCCUCCCCCUCUCCGCCCCCGCCUCCCGGCCCCGGCUCGAGAUCUCGCCGAAGACAAUUGCAGUAAAUGAGGACAUCGGAGGAGCACGGAGCCGGGUGGCUGUGGCUGGCUCCGCCGCGCCGCGAGCGAGCGAGCGCGCGGGCGUCCCCGGAGCCGGCCGAGCCGCUGCCUCCCCGCGCGCGUCGCUGAGCGGGG
rnacentral:lncRNA from 1 species